UCUUCAUUCCGAAUGAUCUCU
rnacentral:miRNA from 1 species